GUAUCUAUGGUGUGGACAUUGUAAUAAAAUUGAUUUGAAGUUAUCCCAUGCUUUAUUAAAUGACUCAAAAUUCUUUUGAUAACAGUUAGAAAUCUCAGUCUUUAAUUC
rfam:Ricinus communis cultivar Hale ctg_1100012362124, whole genome shotgun sequence.